UACGUAGGGUGCAAGCGUUAAUCGGAAUUACUGGGCGUAAAGCGUGCGCAGGCGGUUGUGCAAGACAGAUGUGAAAUCCCCGGGCUUAACCUGGGAACUGCAUUUGUGACUGCACAGCUGGAGUGCGGCAGAGGGGGAUGGAAUUCCGCGUGUAGCAGUGAAAUGCGUAGAUAUGCGGAGGAACACCGAUGGCGAAGGCAAUCCCCUGGGCCUGCACUGACGCUCAUGCACGAAAGCGUGGGGAGCAAGCAGG
rnacentral:rRNA from 1 species